GCCUUUGAAUGGGACCCUUGAUACAAGGCUUUCAUAGACCAGCCGGUGCUGAUGGGGUCCGGGACUUGACGAUGGCGCCUGCUCGUUCCUGUUGUGUUCUAUCUGAGGCAUGAUUUUCUUUCGUUUUUGGGAGGUAGAGAGCACGGGGCAGAGGUUGCACCUGACACAUUAGAACUCCGUUGUCACUGCUGUGGCUGUUAUUCCCCUCGGCAAGAGCCAAGGAGCAAACAGGACGUGAAGAUCCCGGUGUUACACAUCCAAUCGUUCACCUCCUUCCAAGACUAUGACAUUCCAGGAAACCUUCACUGCUAAGAGGAACUAAGAUCUAGAGUAUCUCCUCGAGGAAGUACAACUGCAUUAUAAAUUAAGGAGGAAUAGUAACAAAGAGCUUGAAGACAUGCACAGCUCACAGGCCCCGGGUGGAGGCUGGCGACAUCAGACAGACAGAACCAAGACAUCUGAGGGGCAACCAGGAGGUGCGUGUGGCUGCAGAGCACACAGUUCCUUGAAAUGUCUUGGAUGAAAAUUGGGUUCUGCACACUGGAUCUGGCUGGUUGAUUCUGCCUGCGAAGACUGAAGUUGGCUUUGAUGCCUAUAGAUGCACUCACCCUUCGCUCGGGUUCCAGAGGCCAUGUGGUGUAUGGGGAAGGCAAUGUAGAUGGUGGGAAAAUCACUUGACUUCUCUUGCUCAUCUGUCAAAUGAAACUGUUACCAUCCUUCCUUCGUGCAUCCAAAUAUAGAUGUAAGGAGCACAUGUGAUUAUACUGCACACACCAACAGUUCCUGACUAUCCAAGUGCUGUAUAAUUAUAAGGUUUUAUAGUCAUUAUUCUGCUGCAUGUUUCUUACUAGUGAUUUACCCGUAUUGCACAAUUAAAAUUAUUUGAAAAGCUG
rnacentral:lncRNA from 1 species